UUCUCCAACUUCUGCUUCUUUGUCUUUGUCAUGCUCGAUGAUUGAACAUAAGUCUCUUGACAUGCCUUGAUAAUGCAUCGAACAUGUGGGUCAUCUGU